AUUGAACGCUGGCGGCAUGCCUUACACAUGCAAGUCGAACGGCAGCACGGGUGCUUGCACCUGGUGGCGAGUGGCGAACGGGUGAGUAAUACAUCGGAACAUGUCCCGUAGUGGGGGAUAGCCCGGCGAAAGCCGGAUUAAUACCGCAUACGAUCUACGGAUGAAAGCGGGGGACCUUCGGGCCUCGCGCUAUAGGGUUGGCCGAUGGCUGAUUAGCUAGUUGGUGGGGUAAAGGCCUACCAAGGCGACGAUCAGUAGCUGGUCUGAGAGGACGACCAGCCACACUGGAACUGAGACACGGCCCAGACUCCUACGGGAGGCAGCAGUGGGGAAUUUUGGACAAUGGGCGAAAGCCUGAUCCAGCAAUGCCGCGUGUGUGAAGAAGGCCUUCGGGUUGUAAAGCACUUUUGUCCGGAAAGAAAUCCUUGGCCCUAAUACGGUCGGGGGAUGACGGUACCGGAAGAAUAAGCACCGGCUAACUACGUG
rnacentral:rRNA from 1 species